CCCGCGCCUCUUCUUUCACCAGUGACGUCACGACCGCGCCUAAAGAUGUCAAAGGUGUGAUGUCAUCGCCGCGUGUGGCGCACGUACCUCUAUCAUCCUACUUGUUAGUGUGGUCGCGGGCGUGCUGGAGCCUAUCCCAGCUAUCUCCGGGCGAGAGGCGGGGUACAACCUGAACUGUCUGCCAUUUGCCCUUGCUCCCUGGAAAGCAGUGCUGACCUCUUGCGGCCCACCGACAACACAGACUCCUACCCUACCAGACCGGUCCUCGUUGGAACCCUCGCAAUCCCGGAUUUAGUUCUCGGAGUUCCUUUGUUCGCUUCCAAGCUGCAAUAAACCUUUAUUCACAAACUCA